UACGGGGGGGGCAAGCGUUAAUCGGAAUUACUGGGCGUAAAGGGUGCGCAGGCGGUCGUUCAAGUCGCGUGUGAAAGCCCCCGGCUCAACUGGGGAGGGUCACGCGAUACUGGUCGACUCGAAGGCAGGAGAGGGUAGUGGAAUUCCCGGUGUAGUGGUGAAAUGCGUAGAUAUCGGGAGGAACACCAGUGGCGAAGGCGACUACCUGGCCUGUUUCUUGACGCUGAGGCGCGAAAAGCUAGGGGAGCAAACAGGG
rnacentral:rRNA from 1 species